UACGGAGGGGGCUAGCGUUGUCCGGAGUUACUGGGCGUAAAGCGCACGCAGGCGGUCUCUUAAGUUUGGAGUGACAGUUGGUGGCUUAACUGCCAAAGUGCUUCGAAAACUGAGAGACUUGAGGGCUUCAGAGGGACACGGAAUUCCGGGUGGAGUGGUGAAAUCCGUAGAUCUACGAAGGAACGCCAAAAGCGAAGGCAGCUCUCUGGGUCCCUACCGACGCUGGGGUGCGAAAGCAUGGGGAGCGAACAGG
rnacentral:rRNA from 1 species